rnacentral:lncRNA from 8 species
UGAAUGGUUUCACCCACUACUCUCCCGGAACUGAGGCUUUGAGAUCUACAUUGCGCGCGAGGUUGAUGGAAACUCUACAUUUUCACUUUGUUACACCUUUGAUAAUUAACUAAAGAUGCUGAAAAUGGAGGGACUCGGGCCGAAGAUGGACCCGGAAGAGAUGAAGAGGAAGAUGUGGUGUCUUCGGUCAGGAACUUUCUCCUCUAUGUCUCCCUGCUCCGAGUCACACCAUACGUUAUUCAGAAGCUGGACAGCAUGUGAAUAGAAUCCAUCUUCUCUCACCGUCUCCCCACAAGACCUACAUCACACAAGAUGCUUCAGAACAACAACAACAAGCUGGUGAAGUUGCUACCCAACAGGAACAACCAUGACAACAACAACAAGCUGGUGAAGUUGCUACCCAACAGGAACAGCCAUGACAACAACAACAAGCUGGUGAAGUUGCUACCCAACAGGAACAAUCAUGACAACAACAACAAGCUGGUAGAUGCUUCUAGAAAAAACAAUCAAUUUGGAAACAUUAUGAAAAAGUUAAUGUCACCAGCAUGGAUGUUUAAGUUAUAUAGUCUACCAAGUGUUAAUGUCACCACCAUGGAUGUUUAAGUUAUAUAGUCUACCAAGUGUUAAUGUCUCCACCAUGGAUGUUUAAGUUAUAUAAUCUACCAAGUGUUAAUGUCACCACCAUGGAUGUUUAAGUUAUAUAGUCUACCAAGUGUUAAUGUCACCACCAUGGAUGUUUAAGUUAUAUAGUCUACCAAGUGUUAAUGUCACCACCAUGGAUGUUUAAGUUAUAUAGUCUACCAAGUGUUAAUGUCUCCACCAUGGAUGUUUAAGUUAUAUAGUCUACCAAGUGUUAAUGUCUCCACCAUGGAUGUUUAAGUUAUAUAGUCUACCAAGUGUUAAUGUCUCCACCAUGGAUGUUUAAGUUAUAUAUUCUACCAAGUGUUAAUGUCACCACCAUGGAUGUUUAAGUUAUAUAGUCUACCAAGUGUUAAUGUCACCACCAUGGAUGUUUAAGUUAUAUAGUCUACCAAGUGUUAAUGUCUCCACCAUGGAUGUUUAAGUUAUAUAGUCUACCAAGUGUUAAUGUCUCCACCAUGGAUGUUUAAGUUAUAUAGUCUACCAAGUGUUAAUGUCUCCACCAUGGAUGUUUAAGUUAUAUAGUCUACCAAGUGUUAAUGUCUCCACCAUGGAUGUUUAAGUUAUAUAUUCUACCAAGUGUUAAUUUCUAUCCUACUGUGAUACUUGUGAGUUGAUGUGAUGUCAUUGAUGAUUUCUAACAGAUACACCUUGAUGUUGUUUUGUCCUUUUCUUAUUUUACUUGAAUAAACUCAAGACUUGAAUGUAGUUUGUAGUCAUUUACUUCCAUAUAGGGUCAUUGUUUACAGACACAGCUGUAGGCUGACCUGACCCCAACAAUGACCCCAACCUGACCCCUACCUGCUCCCUACCUGAUCCCAACCCUGUCAUACAGCAUCAGAUCUGUCGACGAGGGGGGAGAAGGGAGGAAGAGAGCAACUGGGGGUGAAGGGAGAGGGAGAUGAGAGAUACGACUUACUCACUGACGGACUGGGUUUUGGAGAAGGAGACAAGGGAGGAGGGAGAGAGAUGAGAGAGAAAGAUAGGACUUACUAACAACCUGGGUUGGUAGAAGGAGACAGGGGAGGAGAGAGAGAGAGAGAGAAACAUUUAAAUCAAAUGAAUAUAUUUUUAUCACUGACUUCUCACCAGUGAAGUCAUCAAAACCAUCAGGCCUGUUAAGUUGACUUGGGUAACAGACCUCUAGCUUCUACACCAC